AACAACCUCAUAAAGUAGUUGCUAUCAUUACCUCUUGUUUUGCAGAUGGGAAAACAGGCUCAACUAACUUGCCCAAAGGAGCAGAUCCAGGAGGUGAAUGCAAAUUUGUCAGACCACAGAGCCUGUGCACUUAACCACUGGUUUUCCUACCUCUGUGGCAUAGUAGGAACAAAGGAAGGAGCUGUGUGUUACAGGAGACUAAGAAAAGCCAGGGCUAGGGUGGCUCAAGCCCCGCCAGUUUUCCUGCAGCCAUUGAAUCCAGGCCAUAUGUGCCCUCUCAGAAAGGAUGCUGAGUUCAGGAGGCUGUGCAAGCCUCAGCCAAAGCCAGCAGGCAGGAGUGCUUCUCUCAGCUCUUGAAGGAUGAGGAGACUUGAAUCCCCCUUGGUUAUGUAACACAGACACAAGAGAUGUCUGUUGGAUGGAUGGAGGAAUAAAGUACAUAUUCCCUGUUGAAAGAUUGCA
rnacentral:lncRNA from 1 species